rnacentral:rRNA from 1 species
AUACGGAGGGGGCUAGCGUUGUUCGGAAUUACUGGGCGUAAAGCGCGCGUAGGCGGCUUAUCAAGUUAGGCGUGAAAGGCCUGGGCUCAACCCGGGAACUGCGCUUAAUACUGGUAGAUUUGAGUCCGGGAGAGGGUGGCGGAAUUCCCAGUGUAGAGGUGAAAUUCGUAGAUAUUGGGAAGAACACCAGUGGCGAAGGCGGCCACCUGGCCCGGUACUGACGCUGAGGUGCGAAAGCGUGGGGAGCAAACAGGAUUAGAAACCCCGGUAGUCC